GUUGGAAAUAGGCAAGAAUGGAGAGAAAUUUUGUAUGGCAGUACACAGAAUUUUGCAAGUUUAUUGUGAGCCCUGCAACAAUCCGAUGCAUUUUAGUUCCUGUCAUCAAGAGUUCAUAUAACUAGACCUGUCUUGGAGCAAUUUUUAUCUUUUGCAAAAUACCUUGAUGGUUUAUCUCAUGGAGUACCUUUGCUGAAGCAGCUUUGUGAUCAUAUUUUGUUUAUUAACCCAGCCAUCUGGAUACAUACACCUGCAAAGGUUCAACUUUCCCUAUAUACAUAUUUGUCUGCUGAAUUUAUUGGAACUGCUACCAUCUACACCACCAUAUGCAGAAUAGGAACAGUUAUUAAAGAUAAUGCACACCUUAAAAUAUUACUACUGGGUUAUUAAUCCUGCUGACAGUAGUGGCAUUACACCUAAAGGAUUAGGAUGAAAAUAUUCAUGAUGUGCUACAGUUACUGGUGGCUUUAAUGUCAGAAC
rnacentral:lncRNA from 1 species